rnacentral:rRNA from 1 species
GAUGGACGCUGGCGGCGUGCUUAACACAUGCAAGUCGAACGGAAAGGCCUCAGCUUGCUGGGGUACUCGAGUGGCGAACGGGUGAGUAACACGUGGGUGAUCUGCCCUGCACUUUGGGAUAAGCCCGGGAAACUGGGUCUAAUACCGAAUAUGACCACUUCUUGGAUGUUGUGGUGGAAAGCUUUUGCGGUGUGGGAUGAGCCUGCGGCCUAUCAGCUUGUUGGUGGGGUAAUGGCCUACCAAGGCGGCGACGGGUAUCCGGCCUGAGAGGGUGUACGGACACAUUGGGACUGAGAUACGGCCCAGACUCCUACGGGAGGCAGCAGUGGGGAAUAUUGCACAAUGGGCGCAAGCCUGAUGCAGCGACGCCGCGUGGGGGAUGAAGGCCUUCGGGUUGUAAACUCCUUUCGCUAUCGACGAAGCCACUUGUGGUGACGGUAGGUAGAUAAGAAGCACCGGCUAACUACGUGCCAGCAGCCGCAGUAA